rnacentral:lncRNA from 1 species
GCGGGGGAGCGGCGCUGCCUGUGGAGAUCCGCGGAGGCCGACAGGAUUCGUUGGCUACCGUCCCCGCUGCCGUGCACUGGGUUAAAAACGACAACGAACACCAACCAUGAAAGAUCCAAGUCGCAGCAGUACUAGCCCAAGCAUCAUCAAUGACGAUGUGAUUAUUAACGGUCAUUCUCAUGAAGAGGAUAAUCCAUUUGCAGAGUACAUGUGGAUGGAAAAUGAAGAGGAAUUCAACAGACAAAUAGAAGAGGAGUUGUGGGAAGAAGAAUUUAUUGAACGCUGUUUCCAAGAAAUGCUGGAAGAGGAAGAAGAACAUGAAUGGUUUAUUCCAGCCCGAGAUCUCCCACAAACUAUGGACCAAAUCCAAGACCAGUUUAAUGACCUUGUUAUCAGUGAUGGCUCUUCUCUGGAAGAUCUUGUGGACACUGUAGCUGUCUUCAGACACACCAAAAGAGGGCAUCAGAUUUCAUUACAGAUGGUUGUGAGCCACCAUGUGGUUUCUGGAAUUGAACUCCGGACGUCUGGAAGAGCAGUUCUUAACUGCUGAGCCGUCUCUCCAGGCCUAGGUGAAGAGCAAUCUGAAUCCCAAUGCAAAGGAGUUUGUUCCUGGGGUGAAGUACUGACAUGUCUGAGCAGCCGGCCGCUUUGGGUGGAUGUAGCACAGUUUCCACACUGGGAAGGCAGUGUUAGAAGACUCCAUUGUAAAAGCUCUCUCUCGUCACUGUGUUACACUUACGCAUUGCCAAAGUUUUUGUUAGUCUUGCAUGCUUAA